rnacentral:rRNA from 1 species
GACGAACGCUGGCGGCGUGCUUAACACAUGCAAGUCGAGCGGUAAGGCCCUUUCGGGGGUACACGAGCGGCGAACGGGUGAGUAACACGUGGGUGACCUGCCCUCAGCUCUGGGAUAAGCCUGGGAAACCGGGUCUAAUACCGGAUAUGACUCCAUGACGCAUGUUGUGGGGGUGGAAAGCCUUGUGCGGCUGAGGAUGGGCCCGCGGCCUAUCAGCUUGUUGGUGGGGUGAUGGCCUACCAAGGCGACGACGGGUAGCCGGCCUGAGAGGGCGACCGGCCACACUGGGACUGAGACACGGCCCAGACUCCUACGGGAGGCAGC